rnacentral:lncRNA from 1 species
CUUUCCAGGGAUCUAAUGGUAUGUGUACACUGAGAGCUAAACUUCAGACAAGUGUGUUCUUCAUCCAUACUGUAAUACAGUGACCUCUCUUUUCUUGCAGAAGUAGAUGCGUGCUCCUGUGAAGGAUGAAAACAGCAAUCUCUCCAGCUUGCAGAAGGCUUCUCCAGAUCCUUGUUCUUAAUUAAAACGUGCUGUGGUGCAUGUCAGGAAUAAACAGGUGUUCCUGAAAGUUCACAUAGCCAAAGUGGAAUGCCCAGCGGCUCUGAAGACAGGUGCUACCUGUGAACAGUUUCACACUACUGAAAGGCCUGAAACUAAGAGGCAUUUGUCCUUGAAACCAGUCAUGAAUGGAAGGUGAUGUUGAGAAGUCGUUAUCCAUCACUCUGGAAGAGUUGGUGAUGGGCAGACUGCCUGGCUUCUGGCAUGGCAUUUGGGUACAGGGGAUGGAAAAACAGAAGCUUAUCCAGAAAUCCUGAAAUACAUGGUCUGAUUUUUCCAGAACUGGAACAAGAGAAGCACCUCACCAAAAGAGAGCAAAUGCUGUCAUUUGACCUUUUCAGCCUUUGGAUUCUCAGUGCAUCUGACUCGACCAGGCAGGUCUGGGGAAGAGAAAAAUUAACAGCAGAUGGAUUUAUGAAAAGAGCUCAGUGGCAGAUGGUGCCUACAGAUAUUUACUGACAUGGCCUCGGUCUUACAGGGGGCCUGUGUUGGAGGACAUGUUGCUGUGACAGUGGUGUCUGUAGAUGAUAUGUUGAAGGAGUGCAGAGUCAUGGUCUUACUACUGAAGUAGUAAAAUCCACUGAAGUCAUCCCAUUCCCUUCUCCUUCAGUAGUAGACACCUCCUCAUGUCAUGGAACAGAGCCACGAUACUUGGUAGUUGACUACUUGAUGUUUAUUAAAACUUCCUUCUCCCAAGACAGUGAUUUUUUUUUCCUAUGUAAUUUUAGAAGAAUGCUUGAAAAAGGUGACUUAGAUGAACCCUACAGGCUCAUUAAACAGUGGCAACUGAUAAAUCUUUUCUUUGAUAGUCUCUUGAAUUUUUAAGUCUUGGAGUUGGUAAUGCCCAUACUAUAGAUGUACGGAAAUGAAUAUUUCAGAAGUGGGCCAUACCUUUUAAGUGGGGUGAUUUGAAUAAAUGAUUUCACUUUUCUUCUGCCUUUUAAUUA